AGUUCUUGAGUGUCCUUUCAUGCCUUUCCUUAAGGGCCGUUCCCUUUCAGUGUGAGGAAUCGCCAGCCGAAGGUUGAUCAAACAUUUUUUUGUUCCUCAUCUAAUUAUCUAACUUUUGUCGGUAGACCCUUGUAAAAAGUUCGCCUGUAAACUUCAGAGGUGCCUUGAAGUCAAUAAUUUUCAAGAAUCAUCCUGCCAAACUGUGCUUGAAUCACUGGAAGAUUGUUGUGAAAAGUUCAGACAAGUAUCACCGAUUGUCUGUUCUGGCAUUAAAGCUAAGGAAGAUAAAGGAGAAAAAUUACCUAGUACCAAUGGUUUGGGGAGGCAGAAAUGACUAAGCAGAAAAUUAGAAUUUACAAACCGCCACCUAAAUUUGAUCCUCUGGGUCAUUUGCCCUGGUAUAAACGAUUUUUUUAUAGGAAUAACAAAAGCAUAUUAAUUCUCUCAUCUAUAGCUUGCACGCUGUAUGUAUUUGAGAGGUUUAUCAUUGAUUUGAAGAAUGCACCAAACACACCGUCUGAUCUUUGGAAAUACUCAAAUGAUGAAGUCUCUAUCGCCCGAAGAAGAUUACAAGCACAACGAGUGAGACAACUUGAAUUGUCAUUUCCGGCGAGGAGGCCGGUGAAAGAAUUUUACUGCGAAGAAUGUUAAACUACAAAUUCUUCCCAAAGGCAACCGUACAAAAAACAUCGUGUACAAAGAG
rnacentral:lncRNA from 1 species